AACGCGAAGAACCUUACCUGGGUUUGACAUGCACGUGAAAGCCUUGUGAAAGCAGGGCCCUCCUUCGGGACGCGUGCACAGGUGCUGCAUGGCUGUCGUCAGCUCGUGUCGUGAGAUGUUGGGUUAAGUCCCGCAACGAGCGCAACCCUUGCCCCGUGUUACUAACAGGUCAAGCUGAGGACUCUCGGGGGACUGCCGGCGUCAAGCCGGAGGAAGGUGGGGACGACGUCAAGUCAUCAUGGCCCUUACGCCCAGGGCUACACACGUGCUACAAUGGCCAGGACAGAGGGCAGCAAGACCGCAAGGUGGAGCGAAUCCCAGAAACCUGGUCCAAGUUCGGAUUGUGGGCUGCAACUCGCCCGCAUGAAGCCGGAAUCGCUAGUAAUCGCGGAUCAGCUACGCCGCGGUGAAUACGUUCCCGGGCCUUGUACACACCG
rnacentral:rRNA from 1 species